rnacentral:lncRNA from 1 species
CAUUCUAAAUGGGGAGAAACGGCAAAGCUACCUUGCUGCUGCAGGAUUCUGCUCCCUUUUUCCUUAGAUCUAACUAUGUGGUCUUUUAUUUCAGACACUCGGCUGGGAAGUGAGAGACUCAAAACAACGUGAGAAGUAGAAAGCGGGAACCGUCAGCCAACUCAUAGCUGAAGCAGGGACACUGUGCAGCUCUUGGAGCUUGUUCUUAGUAUGUGUUCAGAGGGCUAAUACUCUGUCAAGCAGGGCGGAUGAUAGCCAGAGCAAACAGCCACGGUCCCCACGGUGGAAAAUAACGUUGCCAGGAAAUUCCGCACAUCUGGAAAGAACAGCAAUGAACAGGAACUUGUGCAUUCGUGCUAGGCUCCUACUGGGCCCGCUUCGUUUCAUUUCCUCCAUUUUUAUGACACUUUCCCAUGCUGCUACUCCAGACAUUCCAUCAAACACCUCGCCACGAACAAAUUGAAAGGGAAGGAAAUCUAAAGAAAGUCUGACUGAAUUUCUGAGUGUCUCAUCACUAGAAUGACCAGGAAAACCUGCCAGGAGUGUAGAUUCAGGCCCCUAAUCCCACUUCUCUGCAGUCUCCUCUUGGUCUCUGUGUAUAAGCUCUCCUGCCUUUUUGCACCUCUAAUCCAUUGUCAGACAAACUGGCCUACUUGUGUUUGCCUCUGAGAGCCUGUCCACUUCCUCACGUUAGGAGAAAGAACACAAAGAAUCCUAGCUUUGAUUCAGUUUUCCAUACUUCAGCCAU